UCUAGAUGAGCAAGAUUUACAUUUAGGAUCAACUGAAAGCCUAGCUAGGCCCUGUGCUAGAGGCAGGCGUGCACAGAAAGAUCAUCCCCACCCCCAUGUCUCUGAGACCCACCAUCUUACAGAGAAAAACCACAUAAAGCAGACACACUAAGUGCUAUGCCAGAUGCCCAGAGCAGUGAGGGUUAGGGUGGCAUUCAUGCCCACCAGGAAGAAUUUGGGCUCCUGGGAGGUAAGAGGUUUUAAAAGAAGAACAGUUAUCAUCUAUGAAGUCAGUCCUUGCGACCCGCCAAGCACUGGUUCUUAGGAGCAGAGGCAGGCAGCCCAACUCCAGUCUCAAGAAGGUGGGGGGAGGGGAACCAGGAGUUCCAGUGCCCCCCAAACAGCUAAGAGCAGUGCUAUAUGCGGUCAGACGUUAGGGACAUUUCAAGAAGCUAAAAGAUGAAGGCAGCAGGCAAACAGUGAAGGGCUGCAAUUCGCUAAAUAACCAUUUUGAUAGAAACAAUUCCUCUUCCCUUACAGAAUCCCAGCUGCAGCACUUACUAUCUGACCUCAGGUGAGUUAGCGAACAUCUCUAAACCUUAGCAGUAGGAAGAACCCUCUAUGGCAGCGGUUCUCAACCUGUGGGUCGCGACCCCUUUGGGGGUCGAACGACCCUUUCACAGGGGUCGCCUAAGACCAUCGGAAAACACAUAUAUAAUUACAUAUUGUUUUUGUGAUGAAUCACUAUGCUUUAAUUAUGUUCAAUUUGUAACAAUGAAAUCGGGGGUCACCACAACAUGAGGAACUGUAUUAAAGGGUCGCGGCACUAGGAAGGUUGAGAACCUCUGCCUAGGGUUACUGCAAGGAUUGGGCACGAAAGCAUCUGUAAGGCAAUGUACCAGGCACCAAGCAAGCGUUCAAUAAGCGUUGGCCAUUAUCACUCAUGCAUUCACCCCCACCCCUACACGCAAUGCUCAACGGCUCAUGUCCCAAACUGGGUCUUCAAUUCCAAGCUCGCGGUCCUCCGAAACCGGCCCAGUUCCGGGAAACACGGGCGCACAGGCUCGCAAGGAUGGUACCUUCACGAUGACGGCUUUGCGUCCGGAGUAGCGUCCGGCCAGGACCAGCACCACCUUCCCGGGUUUCAUAAACUUGCCCAUUUCUGCAGAGGAACAAGGGGCCCCUAAGAAAUUCGCAAGCCCAGGCUGCGGGCUCUCGGAACUUCAGGCUGCGUUUACUGUCGUCCUGGCCCAGGCCGCCCACGGGCCCUGUUCACGGGACGGGAUCCGCUACGAAGCCGCCAGAGCCAGAGGAAUGGAAAGUACUCGGAAUCACCCCGCAACUCGCCCCCCAGGCCGCGGAUGGCGGUGGAUUGGAAGACCCUCCCCAGGGCUGCACUCACCGAACGUAGCCACUCGGGCCUAGAGCAGAAAGGAAAGAACCGCACUUCCGCUAACCUUUCACCCCGGAGGUGGUGAUCUCACUUCCGGUACCGCCCCUUAAGUCUCAACCCGCCUCUUGCGAGGCCCUCAGACUCUGGUUGCUGGCGGAAGAAGCUUCUAUGGGGAAAGCAGGGCCUGGCUGCUUAUUUAUUCAAAUCAAACUUUAUUAGUAGAUCCGGCAGAAGAAAAGAGCCAGGGAGUGCCGCCUAUCGCCUACGGAUGGAAGAGCAAGGAAGGCAUGUUUGGCUAAUCUGGGAGCUGUACUUACGUUUGCUGUUUCUUGGAGGCAGUUUGCUGCUCCCAGUUCUGGUGGAGCCAUUCCCUGUCUUCCCACUGGCCUUGCACUCACAGUGUCCAUUAUCUGUCUGCAAUGGGUUUCCCACUUCAUCUAUAAUCAGAAGUUAAAAAGAGAAGAUACUUCUUUAGUCGCUUGAUGGCAGAUUUUCAAAGGAAGAAUAUUUACUAGUGCCUACUACAUGACAAGACUUACAAAUAUAUCUCAUUUAAUUGUAUAAAACAGUGACUGGUCUGUAGUAGUUGGCUCAAAAAAUAUUUGCUGAGUGAAGAAAGCAUGAAUCGUUUUAUGGGUGAGGAGAGUGGGACUAGAGAGGUUAGGAACCUGCUCAAGGACAUGAAGCCAGUAAAUGGCAGAGUGAGAUUUUAGCUAUCUGGUUACUCACCAUGCUAGCUCCCUUACUCAGUGAACAAACGCCUUAAAGAGUACAUCAAGACUGGCCCCUUUAGGUAACAGUAUUUACAAUGUAUAAAUUAUCACAUCUGUCCACCCCCCUCUGACCUUGGAUGAAGUUGAUAAACAUCUCGAGAUCUCGGAUCUGAGUUUUCAGCUGCUCAACCAACUGUUCUUUCACUCGGGCUGGAUUUACAAUUUGAGCCACAGCUGCAUCGACACGCUGCCGAAGCUCUUCAGUAGACAGUGAACUGAUGUCCUCAUUCAGAUUCAUGUCCAGUUUCUUUAUUAAUUCAUCUAUGAUCACCUAUCAAGACCACAAGCAAUGAGCACACCCUUUGGAAUUUUCAGGGAGAAGGUUAGGAAGAAAGAAAAUCUUUACUGGUAUACCUCCUACCCUUAAAUAGAAAUCCAAGUCACAAAGAACUAUCAAAUUCAUGAGAGAAAUGAUGUAAUUGCUUAUUAGGUAAGGAUAGACCUUUUUUCUCUGGGAGUAACAAGAACCUUUGGUUCCUGUCCAACAGAAAUGGUUCUUCUAACUACAAAUGAUUUACUGGACUAGGCAACUUUGACUCAGGUGACUAACAGCAUGAAUAAUCCAAAGUGGCUGAUGAUCCAAAAAGCCUCAUACUUAGCUUCCCCCAAGGUCUCCAAGAGAAUAAAUACUGGUUUCUCUUAGUUUCUAGUCCUUCUCAUCCCUUCUUAUUCUACUCUAAGUAACUAAAGAAAAGUCUUUACAAAACAUUAAGAUAUAUUACAGCCAAAAUAUUCUACUAACAAUAUUAGGAACAAUGAAAUCUUGGUAAUGCAACUCCAGCCCAGGCAGAGAAAUAGCCAUGUCAAAAGGAGAGACAAACAUGUAGGGGAGGCUGUAGCUGUAUUUCUACUAGCUGAUUUACCUGUCUACCCAGAAGUUGUUUAAAUAAAUACAGCAUUAAAGUCA